rnacentral:rRNA from 1 species
GACGAACGCUGGCGGCGUGCUUAACACAUGCAAGUCGAGCGGUAAGGCCCUUUCGGGGGUACACGAGCGGCGAACGGGUGAGUAACACGUGGGUGACCUGCCCUCAGCUCUGGGAUAAGCCUGGGAAACCGGGUCUAAUACCGGAUAUGACUCCAUGACGCAUGUUGUGGGGUGGAAAGCCUUGUGCGGCUGAGGAUGGGCCCGCGGCCUAUCAGCUUGUUGGUGGGGUGAUGGCCUACCAAGGCGACGACGGGUAGCCGGCCUGAGAGGGCGACCGGCCACAUCCGGGAUGAGACACGGCCCAGACUCCUACGGGAGGCAGCAGUGGGGAAUCUUGCGCAAUGGGCGAAAGCCUGACGCAGCGACGCC